GCACGCAACCCCUCGCAUCGAUCGACAUCCCCCACCGAUUUUUUUCCAAAUAAAACGUUUGACUCCACCUGUCUUCCGCAUGGAAAAAAGGGAGAAAAUCACCUAUGAUUUUGGUUUCCUUUCACGGUCUCCAUCCUCUCCCGAACCACCUCCACCCAGAUCUCCACACCCCCCUGAUCCUCUCCUAAACCACUCCGGCGAGCCCUCACAUGGCCACCUCGACGUCGUGAGAUUCGGGGGCGGCGGAAUCGAUAGGUUAUCAUACAGUGCAUGUCGUUGUGUGACCGUGUGGUGACGGCCGGCUGAAGCAUC
rnacentral:rRNA from 1 species